UACGUAGGGAGCAAGCGUUGUUCGGAUUUACUGGGCGUAAAGGGCGCGUAGGCGGCAAAUUAAGUCAGCUGUGAAAUCUCCGAGCUUAACUCGGAACGGUCAGCUGAUACUGCUCUGCUAGAGUGCGGAAGGGGCAAUCGGAAUUCUUGGUGUAGCGGUGAAAUGCGUAGAUAUCGGGAGGAACACCUGUGGCGAAAGCGGCUCACUGGACCACAACUGACGCUGAUGCGCGAAAGCUAGGGGAGCAAACAGG
rnacentral:rRNA from 1 species